rnacentral:rRNA from 1 species
CAAUAGCGUAUAUUAAAGUUGUUGCAGUUAAAAAGCUCGUAGUUGGAUUUCUGGUUGAAGCGACCGGUCGGGCGUUGAUUCGUCUGCACUGGAGUCGGUUUUGGCCAUCCUCUAGGAAAGUGCGUCUGGUAUUAAGUUAUCGGGCGUAUGAUCCUGGUCUUUUACUGUGAAAAAAUUAGAGUGUUUAAAGCAGGCCUUCGCCUUGAAUACAUUAGCAUGGAAUAAUAAGAUAGGACUUUGGUCUAUUUUGUUGGUUUGCAGACCGAAGUAAUGAUUAAUAGGGAUAGUUGGGGGUAUUUAUAUUCCGAUGUCAGAGGUGAAAGUCUUAGAUUUUCGGAAGAUAAACUUAUGCGAAAGCAUUUACCAAGGAUGUUUUCAUUAA